rnacentral:pre_miRNA from 1 species
AAUACAAAGAGACGAGUUGUUCCUUUUGUAUUCCUUUUAUUUCCUUUUAUAUAGCGGAAUUAAAAGGAACAACUCGUCUCUUUGUAUU